AUUGAACGCUGGCGGCAGGCUUAACACAUGCAAGUCGAGCGGGGGAGGUUGCUUCGGUAACUGACCUAGCGGCGGACGGGUGAGUAAUGCUUAGGAAUCUGCCUAUUAGUGGGGGACAACAUUCCGAAAGGGAUGCUAAUACCGCAUACGCCCUACGAGGGAAAGCAGGGGAUCUUCGGACCUUGCGCUAAUAGAUGAGCCUAAGUCGGAUUAGCUAGUUGGUGGGGUAAAGGCCUACCAAGGCGACGAUCUGUAGCGGGUCUGAGAGGAUGAUCCGCCACACUGGGACUGAGACACGGCCCAGACUCCUACGGGAGGCAGCAGUGGGGGAUAUUGGACAAUGGGCGGAAGCCUGAUCCAGCCAUGCCGCGUGUGUGAAGAAGGCCUUUUGGUUGUAAAGCACUUUAAGCGAGGAGGAGGCUACUAGUACUAAUACUACUGGAUAGUGGACGUUACUCGCAGAAUAAGCACCGGCUAACUCUGUGCCAGCCGCCGCGGUAACAC
rnacentral:rRNA from 1 species